rnacentral:rRNA from 1 species
GUGCCAGCCGCCGCGGUAAUACGUAGGUGGCAAGCGUUGUCCGGAAUUAUUGGGCGUAAAGCGCGCGCAGGCGGUCCUUUAAGUCUGAUGUGAAAGCCCACGGCUCAACUGUGGAGGGUCAUUGGAAACUGGGGGACUUGAGUGCAGAAGAGGAAAGCGGAAUUCCACGUGUAGCGGUGAAAUGCGUAGAGAUGUGGAGGAACACCAGUGGCGAAGGCGGCUUUCUGGUCUGUAACUGACGCUGAGGCGCGAAAGCGUGGGGAGCAAA